rnacentral:lncRNA from 1 species
AAAAAGUUGCAAAAGAGGUGACAUACCACUGUAUGGAAGAGGCAACAAGCAGUGACCUUGAAGGAUGUGUCCUUCACUUUCUCUAACAGAAUUUUCGACCUUCAACGAACUCUCAACCAUUGUUCUAACCUCUUUAACUCUCCCUAUUCCAAAAUUGUUAACAAACUCAAAACUGAAAUCAAACUUCCUCAACCGGAUAACCGAAAAUCCCAAUUCAGCAUAACUGUUGCAACC